rnacentral:rRNA from 1 species
GACGAACGCUGGCGGCGUGCUUAACACAUGCAAGUCGAACGGAAAGGCCCUGCUUUUGUGGGGUGCUCGAGUGGCGAACGGGUGAGUAACACGUGAGUAACCUGCCCUUGACUUUGGGAUAACUUCAGGAAACUGGGGCUAAUACCGGAUAGGAGCUCCUGCUGCAUGGUGGGGGUUGGAAAGUUUCGGCGGUUGGGGAUGGACUCGCGGCUUAUCAGCUUGUUGGUGGGGUAGUGGCUUACCAAGGCUUUGACGGGUAGCCGGCCUGAGAGGGUGACCGGGCCCAUUGGGCCUGAGAUACGGCCCAGACUCCUACGGGAGGCAGCAGUGGGGAAUAUUGCACAAUGGGCGGAAGCCUGAUGCAGCAACGCCGCGUGCGGGAUGCCGGCCUUCGGGUUGUAAACCGCUUUCGCCUGUGACGAAGCGUGAGUGACGGUAAUGGGUAAAGAAGCACCGGCUAACUACGUG